UCCAGCUGUGCCGGACUUAAGAAACAGAGUGAGCUGGGAUAGGUCUAAUAGGAGUGGUCACCACACCGCAUAUCAUGGCCACUCACGACUUCAUGGCAACAACAAGGACAGAACCCAGACCCAGUUCAGUAGACUGUGACACUUCAAUGACCUGCAAAUUCUGCACAUUAUAAUCUAUAUUUUACACAAAUGUCUUGUACCAAAG
rnacentral:lncRNA from 1 species